rnacentral:rRNA from 1 species
UACGGGGGGGGCUAGCGUUGUCCGGAAUUAUUGGGCGUAAAGGGCGCGUAGGCGGAAUGGUAAGUCAGUGGUGAAAUCUCGAGGCUUAACUUCGAGUCUGCCUCUGAAACUGCUGUUCUUGAGUGCGGAAGAGGAAAGCGGAAUUCCCGGUGUAGCGGUGAAAUGCGUAGAUAUCGGGAAGAACACCAGUAGCGAAGGCGGCUUUCUGGUCCGUCACUGACGCUGAGGCGCGAAAGCGUGGGUAGCAAAC